UACGUAGGGUGCAAGCGUUGUCCGGAAUUAUUGGGCGUAAAGGGCUCGUAGGCGGUCUGUUGCGUCGGGAGUGAAAACUCAGGGCUUAACCCUGAGCCUGCUUCCGAUACGGGCAGACUAGAGGUAUGCAGGGGAGAACGGAAUUCCUGGUGUAGCGGUGAAAUGCGCAGAUAUCAGGAGGAACACCCGUGGCGAAGGCGGUUCUCUGGGACGGUACUGACGCUGAGACGCAAAAGCGUGGGGAGCGAACAGG
rnacentral:rRNA from 1 species